UUUCAUUAAUUUUCGGUCUCCCAUUUUCUUCGUAGGGUCUCUGCCUCCACUAGUUUCUUAACCGAUCGAAGAGCACCACUUUCACAACCAUAAUCCUCUCCAAAGCUUAAUCUCCCCAACUUCCCAGAAUUAUUUCAACAAGUGAUGGAUUUCUGUCGCAGCCAAAACCGAAAACACCCAUCCAAACACAACAAAAAGAGGCUAAAUCCUGAGCAAGUGAGGCUCCUGGAGAGAAGCUUCACUUCUAACAGCAAGCUGGAGCCUGAGCGCAAGCUUCAGCUCGCAGAACAACUCGGUGUGCCCCCGAGACAGGUUGCUAUUUGGUACCAAAACAAGCGAGCCCGGUGGAAGACCCAAAGCCUUGAGCUUGAAUACAACGUGCUUCAUCAAGAGCUAGAAAAUGCAUUAGUUGAAAAGAGGCGGCUCGAGAAAGACGUGGAGCGGCUUAAAGGAGAGUUGGCGAAAGCUCAAGAGAAGGUUCUUGCUUUGAAUCAAACAGGGUCGGCUCAGGUUUCUUGUACUUCUAUUUCUUUUGACGAGGCUGCAGGAAGCUCAAGUUUGCAUGACCAGGGUGCAAAUUGUACUGCAGAGAAAGGCGAGGGUUUCCCACUUGAUCAGGACUUCUAUGCUUGUUUGAUUGGUGAAAAUGGGUCAAGCUGGGAUUAAGUGGGUAUAGCAAGAAAUGUUCAAUGAUUUUUUGUUUGAAUGAUUCCUGAAAAUUCGUACUUUUCAGUUUUUUACUGCAAAUUUUAAUCAGGUAUGUGUUGCGCAUGCAUCCUCUAGAACAAACAGCGACGACUGACGCAUCAAUGAGUAAACAAACUUCCAAGACCGACUUUGUAGACGAUUGGGUCGAGUUUGAUGGAGAAGAACAUGAAUAUUUAGUGAAAAUAGUAACUGAUGGAAAUGCCUAAUUAUGUGCUAUAUAUAGUCCAUUGCAUAUAUAGGAGCCAUCUCUGUUCUUCUACUUCAAAUUCUCUUUCCUUUUGGGAUUCAGAGAUUGUAUUUUAUCUUUACCUAGUUAUAUUGCGUGUAACUUCAGUGUGGAAUAACUUCUAAACCUCCCAAAUUGUAAAUGGGCAUCUUCAAUUUGCCUGAGCAGUUACGCACUGCCAUUCGAGCAAUUAGAGUUGCUCUAACAGAGCAUUGUAUCAGGUUGAUUUAAAAUGUGAAAUCUACUUUCCAAAGAUUUGCCCGAGAUUACAGCUCUUAGCACCAUUGAGAAGAGAGAGAUGUGUACUCAGUGGGAACUGCACUAUCCGUGCGAGUAUCUAGAUAGAUAGACUUUACCGGUAUUCAUCCAUGUCAUAUAUCCUGACCUAGGUUUAACACGAUCCACCUAUUGCUAAUAGUGUCUGCACUCUCCAGGUGGGACUGAAAUGAUUAGCACCCAAGGCUCUACAGAACAUGACUUGGACUUAACUUUUACCCGAAGCCAAAAAUUUCUGAGGUGCUCAACCAUAUUUUGUCUGUCUCUGCUCAUAGGAUUCUCUCCAUGAGAACAAGUUUGUGAUUAUGAUAUAUAAUUGCAAGAAGCAGGACCAGGUUGAAAUCCUUUUGUUUUGACUCUCCAGUCUUCAGCAGAUCUUCAACAGAUGGGGAGAGUCGGAGACACAGCAACAGGAAUUAGGUUGGUUGUGCCAAGCCAUGUCUGCAAGCUUAGAAUGAGACCGAUCCUAACGUAGAACUCAAUCUCAUGUUAAACAUGGCAAGGCUCAGGGUCCACGCUUUGAUUUCUGCCUGAUAAAUGGAUCUUUCGCAAUUCUCUACAGCCUUUUUGUUAGACUUAAAUAUAUAUCCCUAGUCGUUAGACUUAAAAACACGAAGUCCAACUUUCACGUAGAAUGUUCUUUGUUUCCACUUUCAAGUUCAAGCAGAUGGGGUCAAACCACACAUGGCCUCCCUCAGUUAGCCCAUUUGCAGCCUUAUUUUUUAUUUUCCAAUUAGGUGGGAUGUUGAUCUUCAAUGGAUAACGUAUCAAUUAAUAAAUGAUCAGGGAUGGGAAGAACCCUCACGUGGUAUGCUUUUAAUUUGUUGAGGGGUAAAAAGUUGGGCAAGAAUGGAGUCUAUGGAUGACCCUUUUCAGUCUUCUUCUAGUGGAUAUGAAAAGGUUGAAACUCUGGAUCUGUUGGAGGAGUGUUGGUUCUUUGGGAAGUCGCUUAAUAGAAAAACAAGGAUGUAAAGGGCAUGACACGGACGGUAUAGUCUUGCAAAAUACAGACCAACAAGGAAUCCGGAGGUGGAAACCAAUAACUCGGGCUGCACCAACGACAUGAGGCGGCAACUCCUGAACCAAACAAAGUUGAGGAAGAGCAAAAGCGAUCUUGAGUUUGAAGAAGUACAAGGUUUCACAUUCGACAAAGACUUCAACCCAGAUGUGGUUAAGAUACUUCCUGGUUUGCAAGAGAAGAAGAGUGAGGAAUUGGAGGAAGAUAGGUUGAGGUGGCCUUAUCUUUCCGAGGCAUGGUUUGUGCAAAGCUGUGCCCCUCCAAUUCCAAACUGGGCUUCCGAUGUAUGGAAGACGUGAAGGCACAAAUAAAGUUUUUGGGCUAAAGCUGUGGCUUUGAAUGUGGGCUAAGAGUGCUGCAGAUCGAUCAACAAAUGAAAUUUGACACCAGAAUGAGAUUUGCUAUGCCUAUCAUGCUAAAACUAUCUAAUCCAUAAGAACUCUGUAGUCUGAUAAUUUUAUUUUAUUUUAUUUUUUUCUCUUUUUGCAA